CAAUAGCGUAUAUUAAAGUUGUUGCGGUUAAAAAGCUCGUAGUUGGAGUUCUGCCAGGUGCCGUCUGUCCGCCCCAGUGGUGAGUACGUGACGCGCAUUUGGCCCUUUCAAGGGGAGCGUAUCUGCACUUUACUGUGUGGUGCGGGAUCCUUGACUUUUACUUUGAGGAAAUAGGAGUGUUCCAAGCAGGCUCUCGUCGUGCACAGCUCAGCAUGGAAUAAUAGCAUUGGACCUCGAUUCUAAGCUGUUGGUUGCCAGAAGCGAGGUAAUGAUGAAGAGGGAUAGUUGGGGGCAUUCGUAUUUAACUGUCAGAGGUGAAAUUCUUGGAUUUGUUAAAGACGGACUGCUGCGAAAGCAUCUGCCAUGGAUGUUUUCAUUGA
rnacentral:rRNA from 1 species